GGGAGUGUGCCGGAGUGGCCAAACGGGGCAGAUUGUAAAUCUGUUGGCUUAUGCCUACGGGGGUUCGAAUCCCUCCGCUCCCA
rnacentral:tRNA from 2 species